UACGGAGUGUGCGAGCGUUAUCCGGAAUCACUGGGUUUAAAGGGUGCGUAGGCGGUCUGAUAAGUCAGUUGUGAAAUUCCCCGGCUUAACCGGGUGGACUGCGAUUGAUACUGUGAGACUUGAAUCAGGUUGAGGUAGGCGGAAUGUGACAUGUAGCGGUGAAAUGCUUAGAUAUGUCAUAGAACACCGAUUGCGAAGGCAGCUUGCUAGACCUGGACUGACGCUGAGGCACGAAAGCGUGGGGAGCAAACAGG
rnacentral:rRNA from 1 species